UUAAGAUUCACUUGGGAGGAAACAGAAGAGUUCAUCUAUGACAGGGGUUGGCCUGAGAGAGAUUUUGUAGAAUAUGUGUCUAAAACAGAAGAUGAGGAACAAAAAGCAUGAAAGAAGAGGCUCCAUAGCAAGGUACCAGCAGUCCUCAGGGAUGAGGCUGGAGGAGUCAUCAAGGGACUAUCAAAACGCUACCAAAACAGUAGUGGAAACAUGGAAAGAUGGAAGAAAAGGUGCAAUUCAAAUCUGUUCAGCAACGUGAGUGCCUCCAGCCUAAAAGUGAGGAGACUGAGUUCCAGUGUGGUUAAAUGCCUUUCUCAAGGUGGUGCGAGGAGACAGUGACAGACCCACAGUGAGAACUGGUUUCCUGAUCUCCAGUUCCGAGUCCGUUCCUCUGACCACACUGCCUCUGAAGCGGACAGAGCACCAUGGGGAGUCGACGUGGGGCCACACAACAGCAGUAUUAAGUGAACUGAACAGAGAACACAUCUCAUGGAAAGACUCAGAGGAGAAAGGCUCUGCUUGAGCAAGCGGAAGGAACAGACUGACAA